rnacentral:rRNA from 1 species
CCUGCAUGUCUAAGUACAAGCCUCAGUAAGGUGAAACCGCGAAUGGCUCAUUAAAUCACACCUAAUCUACUGGAAAGUUACUAGUUACUUGGAUAACUGAGGUAAUUCUUGAGCUAAUACAUGCGAAAAAUCUCGACUCACGGAGAGAUGCUUUUAUUAGAUCAAAACCAAACGGCUUCGGCCGUCUCAUUGGUGACUCUGAAUAACUUUGGGCUGAUCGUAUGGCCUUGUGCCGACGACGUUUCCUUCGAAGGUGUGCCCUAUCAACUGUCGACUGUGAUAUAGACGCUCACAGUGGUUUUGACGGGUAACGGGGAAUCAGGGUUCGAUUCCGGAGAGGGAGCCUUAAAAACGGCUACCACAUCCAAGGAAGGCAGCAGGCACGCAAAUUACCCAAUGAACGAAGUUCGAGGUAGUGACGAAAAAUAACGAUACAGGACUCAUCCGAGGCCCUGUAAUUGGAAUGAGUACACUUUAAAACCGUUCCCGAGGAUCUAUUGGAGGGCAAGUCUGGUGCCAGCAGCCGCGGUAAUUCCAGCUCCAAUAGCGUAUAUUAAAGUUGUUGUGGUUAAAAAGCUCGUAGUUGGAUCUCGGCGGACAGAAGUCGGUCCGAAUGCUUUCGGUACUGGCUUGUUUGUCCGUGUGUUUUGCCAGAGGCAGGCGGGUGCUCUUCGCCGAGUGUCCGUUUGUGCUGGCAGGUUUACUUUGAAAAAAUUAGAGUGCUCAAAGCAAGCUCUUACGCUUGAAUAUUCGUGCAUGGAAUAAUAGAAUAGGAUGUCGUUUCUAUUUUGUUGGUUUUCGGAAAUCGACAUAAUGAUUAAUAGGGACAGUCGGGGGCAUUUGUAUUCAAACGACAGAGGUGAAAUUCUUGGACCGUUUGAAGACAAACUACUGCGAAAGCAUUUGCCAAGAAUGUUUUCAUUAAUCAAGAACGAAAGUUAGAGGUUCGAAGGCGAUUAGAUACCGCCCUAGUUCUAACCAUAAACGAUGCCAGCUAGCGAUCUGCAGGCGUUUUACUUUACGACCUUGCAGGGAGCUUCCGGGAAACCAAAGCUUGUGGGUUCCAGGGGAAGUAUGGUUGCAAAGCUGAAACUUAAAGGAAUUGACGGAAGGGCACCACCAGGAGUGGAGCCUGUGGCUUAAUUUGACUCAACACGGGAAAUCUCACCAGGCCCGGACACGAGAAGGAUUGACAGAUUGAUAGCUCUUUCUUGAUUUCGUGGGUGGUGGUGCAUGGCCGUUCUUAGUUGGUGGAGUGAUUUGUCUGGUUAAUUCCGAUAACGAACGAGACUCUGUCCUGCUAACUAGUGUCUGCUUCUUUUCUGAGCAGAUUAUUCUUCUUAGAGGGACUGGUAGCUCUUAGCUACACGAGAUUGAGCAAUA